rnacentral:tRNA from 1 species
GAGGGUGUAGCUCAGUGGCAGAGCGUGUGCUUAGCAUGCACGAGGUCCUGGGUUCAAUCCCCUGGACCUCCG